rnacentral:rRNA from 1 species
GACAGAGGGUGCAAACGUUGUUCGGAAUUAUUGGGCGUAAAGCGCGUGUAGGCGGCUAAGUAAGUCGGGCGUGAAAUCCCACGGCUCAACCGUGGAAGUGCACUCGAAACUACAUAGCUAGAGUCCUGGAGAGGAAGGUGGAAUGCUUGGUGUAGAGGUGAAAUUCGUAGAUAUCAAGCGGAACACCGGUGGCGAAGGCGGCCUUCUGGACAGUGACUGACGCUGAGACGCGAAAGCGUGGGGAGCAAACAGG